UGGAGAGAUGGCUGAGUGGUCGAAAGCGGCCGCCUCGAAAGCGGUUAUCCCAUUAACGUGGGAUCGGGGGUUCGAAUCCCUCUCUCUCCAU
rnacentral:tRNA from 1 species